rnacentral:tRNA from 1 species
GUACAGGCCGGCUUCGGAAGCCGACGAGGCUGCAAACCUCGUGAAGCCGGUUCGAGUCCGGCCCUGUACUCCA